AUUUUUCACGUCUUUGCUCUCGCACACGGGCUUCGUGUGCCUUGGAUAACAAAAGAGUUUAAAAAAACGAUUAUGACGCACUCCCUAAAGGAACUGUGUAAAUGAAGUAGCAUGAAAAAAACACAGUCGGAAAUACGAAUUUCAGGGCAGUUGUGCUCGAAUAUAUUUAACAUAUUGGACAAUUCUACUCUGAAACGUCUGCGAAUUUAGAUAUGGUAAAAUAUUGGAGCUCAGUAAUCUUGCUGGCUUCUGUGACAGCCAUGUUUCUCAUACUAAUAAUGCAAGAUGUAAAUCACUGGUGUGCGCUUGGAGUCGUGCAUCGUCAGGCAAACCGACGAGAGCAUCGGCGCCGCCAACGUUCGGCAACUAGAGAUAAAAUACCUUCAACACCACCAACACCCAGACCACUUCGCCCCAUGCCUAAUUACACUGGCACGUAUGUCUGAAGAAUUUUCCUUUAUCGGGGAUUGUAAUCACACCUUGGAUACCGGGCCACAAGAAUGACGUUUGGGAACGCUUUCGUUUGAAAUAGAAGUUCAGAAUAAAAAAAAAUCUACACUU
rnacentral:lncRNA from 1 species